GCGGCCAGUAGGACAGCUCUUGUGAGAAAUCCCCUGGAGAUGUGGGAAGGCUUCGAAUGUUGCUCGCUCGCUCAUCUUCACUUCCUGUAGUAGCUGCUCCGAGCUCUUCUUAAGUCUGGAUCUUUACAUAGGUCCUGCAUGGGUUCCUCUUUGAUGAUUCAUCUAUGACAGAGCAUGGCCUGCCAAGAGGUGCCAUGUCAGGACCCGGGAUCCGAACAGGCGAACCCUGGGCCGCCAAAGCGGACGUGCACGCUUAAUCACUGCGCCAUCAGAUUAACCCUGAGCUAACUACUGCCAGUCCUCCUCUUUUUGCUGAGGAAUACUGACCCUGAGCUAACAUCUGUGCCCAUCUUCCUCUACUUUAUAUGUGGGACGCCUACCACAGCAUGGUGUGCCAAGCGGUUCCAUGUCCACACCUGGGAUCUGAACCAGCGAACCCCGGGCUGCCGAGAAGCCAAACAUGCAAACUUAACCACUGUGCCACUGGGCCGGCCCCUACUUUGCAUCCCUGGAGCAAAUCCCAGUUGAUCACAAUGUGUGAUCCUUUAAUGUAUUGUUGAAUUUUUUUACUAAAAUUUUGUUGAGGAUUUUAGCAUCUAUGUUCAUCAGGGAUAUUGGCCUGUAGUUUUCUUUUCUUGUGGCAUGCUUGUCUGGUUUAGGUGUCAGGGGAAUGCUGGCCUCACAAAAUGAGUUUGGAAGUGUUUCUUCUCUUCUAUUUUUUGGAAGAGUUUGAGAAGGAUUGAUGUUAAUUCUUGUUUAAGUGUUUGGUGGAU
rnacentral:lncRNA from 1 species